rnacentral:rRNA from 1 species
GAUGAACGCUAGCUACAGGCUUAACACAUGCAAGUCGAGGGGUAGCAGGGUAGCAAUACCGCUGACGACCGGCGCACGGGUGAGUAACACGUAUCCAACCUUCCCAUAACUCGGGGAUAGCCUUUCGAAAGAAAGAUCAAUACCCGAUAGUACUUUUUCAAGGCAUCUUGAGAAAGUUAAAGAUUUAUUGGUUAUGGAUGGGGAUGCGUUCCAUUAGAUAGUUGGUGAGGUAACGGCUCACCAAGUCUUCGAUGGAUAGGGGUUCUGAGAGGAAGGUCCCCCACAUUGGUACUAAGACCAGGACCAAACACCUACGGGAGUGAGCAGAGAGGAAUAUUGGUCAAUGGGCGAGAGCCUGAACCAGCCAAGUAGCGUGAAGGAGGAAGGUCCUAUGGAUUGUAAACUUCUUUUAUAGUAGAAUAAAGUGACCUACGUGUAGGUUUUUGUAUGUAUACUAUGAAUAAGGAUCGGCUAACUCCGUGCCAGCCGCCGCCGUAA